ACGGAAGGCAGCAGUGGGGAAUAUUGCACAAUGGGCGAAAGCCUGAUGCAGCGACGCCGCGUGAGUGAAGAAGUAUCUCGGUAUGUAAAGCUCUAUCAGCAGGGAAGAAAAUGACGGCACCUGACUAAGAAGCCCCGGCUAACUACGUGCCAGCAGCCGCGGUAAUACGUAGGGGGCAAGCGUUAUCCGGAUUUACUGGGUGUAAAGGGAGCGUAGACGGUUUGGCAAGUCUGAAGUGAAAUGCGGGGGCUCAACUCCUGAACUGCUUUGGAAACUGUCGAACUAGAGUGCAGGAGAGGUAAGUGGAAUUCCUAGUGUAGCGGUGAAAUGCGUAGAUAUUAGGAGGAACACCAGUGGCGAAGGCGGCUUACUGGACUGUAACUGACGUUGAGGCUCGAAAGCGUGGGGAGCAAACAGGAUUAGAUACCCUGGUA
rnacentral:rRNA from 1 species